UACAGAGGGUGCUAGCGUUGUUCGGAAUCAUUGGGCGUAAAGGGCGUGUAGGCGGUUUGUUAAGUCAUGUGUGAAAGCCCCCGGCUCAACCGGGGAACGACGCAUGAAACUGGCAAGCUAGAGUACCGAAGAGGGGGGUGGAAUCCCGGUGUAGCGGUGAAAUGCGUAGAUAUCGGGAGGAACACCUGUGGCGAAGGCAGCUCGCUGGGACGUUACUGACGCUGAGACGGCGAAAGCGUGGGGAGCAAACAGG
rnacentral:rRNA from 1 species